rnacentral:lncRNA from 1 species
AGGAGAAUGCCGGCAACGGAGGCGACCAAUGGCAUCCGUCGAGAACAGAAGGUAGGUGGUGAAAAUUUUGAGUCAAGGAGGUGCUGGUGCAGCUUGUAGGCUCGCCGGAUUGUGAGUUUGGUGUCUCCGAUUUUGCAGAGGAGUUCUAAAUCUCCUUCUGCUGUUUGUCCCUUUUUUUUUUUUUUUUUUUUUUUUGUAUUCCCCUGAUUUCAAGAGUGAAUGAAGAUAUGUAAUUGUUUUGUUGGGUUAGCACGGUGGUCGCAUGAGCGCAUGUUUGCUUGGCAGCUUUGGGAGCUGCCCAACCUAUUUUGAAGGCUCUUGUUGUUGGGUGGAGGAUGUUUGGCUGGUUUGGCUGGGAGGUGUUGGAGAGUGUUGGGCUCCUGCCCCAGUGGUGACAUGGAAAGUAGGAACUGCCAUUUUUCAGGAGAAAGGAGGCAGCAGGGCUGAUGGAGCUUGGUGUCGUCCUUGGCAGGCU